UGAAGAACAUGAUGAAAGAAAACGAGAGUGACAAUGAUGAGAUUUCAUCGUUACGUGAUCAUAUAAAGUUUCUGAUCUAUUUGCUACGUUCUUUCUGAUUCUUUA